UACGUAGGGUGCGAGCGUUAAUCGGAAUUACUGGGCGUAAAGCGUGCGCAGGCGGUUUUGUAAGCCAGAUGUGAAAUCCCCGGGCUUAACCUGGGAAUGGCAUUUGGGACUGCAAGGCUUGAGUGCGGCAGAGGAGACUGGAAUUCCUGGUGUAGCAGUGAAAUGCGUAGAUAUCAGGAGGAACACCGAUGGCGAAGGCAGGUCUCUGGGCUGACACUGACGCUCAUGCACGAAAGCGUGGGGAGCGAA
rnacentral:rRNA from 1 species